rnacentral:rRNA from 1 species
GGGUUGUGAGGUUAAGCGACUAAGCGUACACGGUGGAUGCCCUGGCAGUCAGAGGCGAUGAAGGACGUGCUAAUCUGCGAAAAGCGUCGGUAAGGUGAUAUGAACCGUUACAGCCGGCGAUGUCCGAAUGGGGAAACCCAGUGCAAUUCGUUGCACUAUCGUUUGAUGAAUACAUAGUCAAACGAGGCGAACCGGGGGAACUGAAACAUCUAAGUACCCCGAGGAAAAGAAAUCAACCGAGAUUCCCCCAGUAGCGGCGAGCGAACGGGGAGCAGCCCGGAGUCUGAAUCAGCUUGUGUGUUAGUGGAAGCGUCUGGAAAGUCGCAGGGUACAGGGUGAUACUCCCGUACACUAAAGCACACAGGUUGUGAACUCGAAGAGUAGGGCGGGACACGUGGUAUCCUGUCUGAAUAUGGGGGGACCAUCCUCCAAGGCUAAAUACUCCUGACUGACCGAUAGUGAACCAGUACCGUGAGGGAAAGGCGAAAAGAACCCCGGCGAGGGGAGUGAAAAAGAACCUGAAACCGUGUACGUACAAGCAGUAGGAGCCCACUAGUUGGGUGACUGCGUACCUUUUGUAUAAUGGGUCAGCGACUUAUAUUCUGUAGCAAGGUUAACCGUAUAGGGGAGCCGCAGGGAAACCGAGUCUUAACUGGGCGUUAAGUUGCAGGGUAUAGACCCGAAACCCGGUGAUCUAGCCAUGGGCAGGUUGAAGGUUGGGUAACACUAACUGGAGGACCGAACCGACUAAUGUUGAAAAAUUAGCGGAUGACUUGUGGCUGGGGGUGAAAGGCCAAUCAAACCGGGAGAUAGCUGGUUCUCCCCGAAAGCUAUUUAGGUAGCGCCUCGUGAACUCAUCUUCGGGGGUAGAGCACUGUUUCGGCUAGGGGGUCAUCCCGACUUACCAACCCGAUGCAAACUACGAAUACCGAAGAAUGUUAUCACGGGAGACACACGGCGGGUGCUAACGUCCGUCGUGAAGAGGGAAACAACCCAGACCGCCAGCUAAGGUCCCAAAGUCAUGGUUAAGUGGGAAACGAUGUGGGAAGGCCCAGACAGCCAGGAUGUUGGCUUAGAAGCAGCCAUCAUUUAAAGAAAGCGUAAUAGCUCACUGGUCGAGUCGGCCUGCGCGGAAGAUGUAACGGGGCUAAACCAUGCACCGAAGCUGCGGCAGCGACACUAUGUGUUGUUGGGUAGGGGAGCGUUCUGUAAGCCGUUGAAGGUGGCCUGUGAGGGUUGCUGGAGGUAUCAGAAGUGCGAAUGCUGACAUAAGUAACGAUAAUGCGGGUGAAAAACCCGCACGCCGGAAGACCAAGGGUUCCUGUCCAACGUUAAUCGGGGCAGGGUGAGUCGACCCCUAAGGCGAGGCCGAAAGGCGUAGUCGAUGGGAAACAGGUUAAUAUUCCUGUACUCGGUGUUACUGCGAAGGGGGGACGGAGAAGGCUAUGUUGGCCGGGCGACGGUUGUCCCGGUUUAAGCAUGUAGGCGGAUGUUCCAGGUAAAUCCGGAACGUCACUAACGCUGAGGUGUGAUGACGAGGCACUACGGUGCUGAAGUGACAAAUGCCCUGCUUCCAGGAAAAGCCUCUAAGCAUCAGGUAACAUCAAAUCGUACCCCAAACCGACACAGGUGGUCAGGUAGAGAAUACCAAGGCGCUUGAGAGAACUCGGGUGAAGGAACUAGGCAAAAUGGUGCCGUAACUUCGGGAGAAGGCACGCUGAUGGUAGGUGAAGCGACUUGCUCGUGGAGCUGAAAUCAGUCGAAGAUACCAGCUGGCUGCAACUGUUUAUUAAAAACACAGCACUGUGCAAACACGAAAGUGGACGUAUACGGUGUGACGCCUGCCCGGUGCCGGAAGGUUAAUUGAUGGGGUUAUCCGUAAGGAGAAGCUCUUGAUCGAAGCCCCGGUAAACGGCGGCCGUAACUAUAACGGUCCUAAGGUAGCGAAAUUCCUUGUCGGGUAAGUUCCGACCUGCACGAAUGGCGUAAUGAUGGCCAGGCUGUCUCCACCCGAGACUCAGUGAAAUUGAACUCGCUGUGAAGAUGCAGUGUACCCGCGGCAAGACGGAAAGACCCCGUGAACCUUUACUAUAGCUUGACACUGAACACUGGUCCUUGAUGUGUAGGAUAGGUGGGAGGCUUUGAAGUGUGGACGCCAGUCUGCAUGGAGCCAUCCUUGAAAUACCACCCUUUAAUGGCUGGUGUUCUAACGUGGGCCCGUAAUCCGGGUUGCGGACAGUGUCUGGUGGGUAGUUUGACUGGGGCGGUCUCCUCCUAAAGAGUAACGGAGGAGCACGAAGGUCAGCUAAUCCUGGUCGGACAUCAGGAGGUUAGUGCAAUGGCAUAAGCUGGCUUGACUGCGAGCGUGACGGCGCGAGCAGGUGCGAAAGCAGGUCAUAGUGAUCCGGUGGUUCUGAAUGGAAGGGCCAUCGCUCAACGGAUAAAAGGUACUCCGGGGAUAACAGGCUGAUACCGCCCAAGAGUUCAUAUCGACGGCGGUGUUUGGCACCUCGAUGUCGGCUCAUCACAUCCUGGGGCUGAAGUAGGUCCCAAGGGUAUGGCUGUUCGCCAUUUAAAGUGGUACGCGAGCUGGGUUUAGAACGUCGUGAGACAGUUCGGUCCCUAUCUGCCGUGGGCGCUGGAGAAUUGAGGGGGGCUGCUCCUAGUACGAGAGGACCGGAGUGGACGCAUCACUGGUGUUCGGGUUGUCAUGCCAAUGGCAUUGCCCGGUAGCUAAAUGCGGAAGAGAUAAGUGCUGAAAGCAUCUAAGCACGAAACUUGCCCCGAGAUGAGUUCUCCCUGACCCUUUAAGGGUCCUGAAGGAACGUUGAAGACGACGACGUUGAUAGGCCGGGUGUGUAAGCGCAGCGAUGCGUUGAGCUAACCGGUACUAAUGAACCGUGAGGCUUAACCUUACAACGCCGAAG